AAUUAAGUAGUUUAUAUUUAUUAAAAUUUUUAUUUGUGGAGUAAAAGAAUUUCUUAAUUA
rnacentral:tRNA from 1 species